UACGUAGGCAGCGAGCGUUGUUCGGAUUUACUGGGCGUAAAGGGCGCGUAGGCGGCCGAUCAAGUCAGGCGUGAAAGCCCCGGGCUCAACCUGGGAAUGGCGCUUGGGACUGGUUGGCUUGAGUUCGGGAGAGGAGAGUGGAAUUCCCAGUGUAGAGGUGAAAUUCGUAGAUAUUGGGAAGAACACCGGUGGCGAAGGCGGUUCUCUGG
rnacentral:rRNA from 1 species